CGACGCUGGCGGCGUGGAUUAGGCAUGCAAGUCGAACGGUAUGGACCUUUCGGGGUUCAGAGAGUGGCGAACGGGUGAGUAACACGUAGGUAAUCUACCCUCAAGACGGGGACAACCAGGGAAACUUGGGCUAAUACCGGAUGUGUGUAGUGGCUAUUUUCUGAUUAUCAUUAUUUACGUAAGUGAGUAAUAAUAAGAAGGGAAAGUGGUUAUUACAUAAAAGGUGGCGUAAGCUGCCGCUUGGGGAUGAGCCUGCGUCCUAUUAGUUAGUUGGUGAGGUAACGGCUUACCAAGGCGAUGAUAGGUAGGCGGCCUUAACGGGUGGUCGCCCACACUGGGAUUGAGAUACGGCCCAGACUCCUACGGGAGGCAGCAGUCGAGAAUAGUCUACAAUGGACGGAAGUCUGAUAGUGCGACGCCGCGUGAACGAAGAAUCCCUUCGGGGUGUAAAGUUCUUUUAUACGUGAGCAGUGUCCUUUAUAUUAAUAGUAUAAGGGGAGAGAUAUUAGCGUAUGAAUAAGCAACGGCUAACUCCGUG
rnacentral:rRNA from 1 species